rnacentral:rRNA from 1 species
UACGUAGGGUGCGAGCGUUGUCCGGAAUUAUUGGGCGUAAAGAGCUCGUAGGCGGUUUGUUGCGUCGGCCGUGAAAACCUGCAGCUUAACUGUGGGCCUGCGGCCGAUACGGGCAGACUUGAGUUCGGUAGGGGAGACUGGAAUUCCUGGUGUAGCGGUGAAAUGCGCAGAUAUCAGGAGGAACACCGGUGGCGAAGGCGGUUCUCUGGGCAUUACUGACGCUGAGAAGCGAAAGCAUGGGGAGCGAACAGG